UCGGCCCUCAAUCAAGGCCAGCAGCUUGCUGUAGCUGCUGGUUUCAAACAGGAGCCCAGAGGAAGCAGCUCCCUGGUGGUCUGUUGGUCCUCCUGGCUUCCUAAUGGGGGGAACCAAUUCGUGGGGGAGAGACACAA